AAUAAGUGCAGCCGUAGAUAUCCAUGUCCAACGUUUGACCGUUCGUCUUAUUUGAAAAAUUUGUGAAAAAAAUAAAAAAAAUUUAGUCACACAUAAAGUACUAUUCAUGUUUUAUCAUCUAAUAACAAUAAAAAUACUAAUCAUAAAAAAUUUUCAAAUAAGACGAACGAUCAAACGUUGAACGUGAAUAGUGCAAAACUGAACUUAUA
rnacentral:pre_miRNA from 1 species